AUUGGGCAUGGCUGGGGACACUGGGGACAUUGGGGGAUGGCUGGGGACAUUAGGGACACUUGGGGACACUGGGAACAUUGGGGAUACUGGGGACACUUGGGGACACUGGGGAUGUUGGGGACACUGGGAGAGACAGGGGACAUUGGGGACUCUGGGGGUAUUGGGGACACUGGGGACAGCUGGGGACACUCAGGGGAGAGCCAGGGGACACUCUUGGGCACUCAGGGGGCACUCAGGUGACCCCAGGUGACCCCAGGUGACGCGGGCGUGUCCUGGCAGGACGGGAAGGAGACGGUGAUGAAGGAGGUGUUCCCUGGGGACAGCGUGCACAGCCUGCUGAGCAUCCUGGACGUCAUCACGGUACCUGGGGACAUCCAGGGGCUGUCCCCAACCCUGGGGACGUCAUAGAGACUGUCCUUAACCCUGGGGACAUCAUAGGGGCUGUCCUCAAACCCUGGGGACUGGCCCCAAACCCUGGGGACAUCAUGGGCCUGUCCCCAGACCCUGGGGACAUCAUGGGGACUGUCCCCAACCCUGAGGACAUUAUAGAGACUGUCCCCAAACCUGGAGGCAUCAUAGGGACUGUCCCCAAACCCACGUGUGACCACCCCAAACCCAGCCACGCUCAUUCUAAACCCAACCAUGACCAACCAAACCCAACCAUGACCACCUCACACCCGGCCAUGGCCAUUCUAAACCCGACCAUGACCACCCCAACCCCAGCUGUGGCCACCCCAACCCCAGCUGUGGCCACCCCAACCCCAGCUGUGGCCACCCCAACCCCAGCUGUGGCCACCCCAACCCCA
rnacentral:lncRNA from 1 species